CUCUGCCUGGAAAGUUCUUUUUACUCUUUAAGAUUGAAUUUCCAUGAGGACAGACAAGAUGCUUGCCUCCAUCAUUGCUGGACCCUUGAGUCUAGCAAAAGGCUUAACAUGCAUUCACGUCAACCUUUACAAAGAAUUGAGAUGGCAGCAAGGAGCGGCAAGGAGCCUGGGUCCUGCAACCAUGUUCCCACCUUCUGGGCUGCAUUGCCAAUUCCAGAGUGUUGUGUUUGAUUACCAAAACUGUGUCAAAAAUGAAUCAAGCCUUGGUAGGACUGACUCACUGUGGUGUCUG